rnacentral:sRNA from 1 species
AAGUCGUAACAAGGUUUCCGUAGGUGAACCUGCGGAAGGAUCAUUAUUGAAAUAAACCUGAUGGGUUGUUGCUGGUUCUCUAGGGAGCAUGUGCACACCUUGCCAUCUUUAUAUCUCCACCUGUGCACCUUUUGCAGACCUUUCAGGUCUAUGUUGCUUAAUUUACCCCCAAUGUAUGUUAAUAGAAUGUUGUGCCUAUAAUAAUAUAUACAACUUUCAGCAACGGAUCUCUUGGCUCUCGCAUCGAUGAAGAACGCAGCGAAAUGCGAUAAGUAAUGUGAAUUGCAGAAUUCAGUGAAUCAUCGAAUCUUUGAACGCACCUUGCGCUCCUUGGUAUUCCGAGGAGCAUGCCUGUUUGAGUGUCAUUAAUAUAUCAACCCUCUCUUCUUGAGUGGUUUGGAUGUGGGGGUUUGCUGGCCUCUUAAAAGGUUUUAGCUCUCCUGAAAUGCAUUAGCGGAACAACCCUGUUCAUUGGUGUGAUAACUAUCUACGCUAUUGAAUGUGAAGGGCAGUUUGGCUUUCUAACAGUCCUUGGACAGCUCAUCAUUAAUGUGACCUCAAAUCAGGUAGGACUACCCGCUGAACUUAA